CCUACGGGCGGCUGCAGUGAGGAAUAUUGGUCAAUGGACGAGAGUCUGAACCAGCCAAGUAGCGUGAAGGAUGACUGCCCUAUGGGUUGUAAACUUCUUUUAUAAAGGAAUAAAACGAGGCACGUGUGCCUUUUUGCAUGUACUUUAUGAAUAAGGAUCGGCUAACUCCGUGCCAGCAGCCGCGGUAAUACGGAGGAUCCGAGCGUUAUCCGGAUUUAUUGGGUUUAAAGGGAGCGUAGAUGGGUUGUUAAGUCAGUUGUGAAAGUUUGCGGCUCAACCGUAAAAUUGCAAUUGAUACUGGCAGUCGUGAGUACAGUUGAGGUAGGAGGAAUUCGUGGUGUAGCGGUGAAAUGCUUAGAUAUCACGAAGAACCCCGAUUGCGAAGGCAGCUUACUAAACUGUGACUGACAUUGAUGCUCGAAAGUGUGGGUAUCAAACAGGAUUAGAUACCCUAGUAGUC
rnacentral:rRNA from 1 species